ensembl:lncRNA
GUUUACCCCGCUGUGUUCUUUUCCAUUAUAACUCUUUUCUUUGUUUGAACGGAUGCACAGAAAUGAGCCUAUAAUAAGGGGACAUGAGAGUCCCUAUAUAGUCUUCAUUUUUAUUUUCUACCUUAUUAAUAUUUCAGUUUAUGAAAUAUACAGGAGGUAUUUUAGCUCCCUGGCCCUUCAACUUAGUCACGCUACUAUCUAAUCCGUUGCAUGGAAUAUUUGAAUAUGCAUCACAGCAUCUAAAACUGACUUUUCUAAAUCUGUUUGUGGUACAUUAUGUAGGAAAACACUUCAAUCUCCCAAGUACUUGAAAAACCCUCAUCAUACAUCAUUCUGUAUUAGAAAAAAAGCAAAUGGGGAUAUUUGCAUAUUAGGGAAAAGGAGGAACAGCAAUAUUGCAACCCACUGAUAAAGAUUAAACUGUAUUCCGUAGCUUAAUUGGACAUGGCUUAUCUUUGAUUUUUUAUGUCUCCUUGUAUUACUUAAUAUACAACGAAGUAAGAUAGAUGUUCUUCAGUGAUCUUUGCAUAGGAGGAAAACUCUGAGAUUGGUCUUUUAUAAACAUUAUAAAGUUUCUAUUGCAUGUGUGUGUGUGUGUGCAUGAAUUUGGCUAUAGUGUCUUUUCACUCUAACCCUACAUAUUAGAACCCCUCACAUAUGCUGGUGGAGAGUUUAUUGCUUUAGUUACUAUGUGUUUGAUGUCAGGUUUCCCUACUGGAUUGUAAACUAUUUAAGGGCAGGGACUGGGUCUUUUGCUCACCACUAAAUCCCCUUCCCCUAGUAUAGUACCUAGAACAUAGUAAGCACUUAAUAAAUAUUUGUCAAAUAAUUGAACAAAUAAAUAAAUUAAAUAACUCAAGGUAAAGUCAUUGUCAGUGAAUAUUAACAUGGAUCAAUAAGUAGGUAUCAAACUACAUGUGACUAGGUGAAACUAAAAACAACAGUAACAGCAACAGUAUCUUUAUCCUUGCCCUUAAGGAUAAAACAAUGUGACGUUAGAGAGGUUAAAUGGAUCAUCCAGGGCCAAAUGGUCGAUAAAUGUCAGAACUAGGGUACUCAAACAGGUCUGUCUGACUCUGACUGAGGGCUGUGGGUUUUUUUUAGGAAAUAGCAGGGAACACUCAAAGAAGGGUCCAUGGAAUUGGUGGGACUUACGGACUUACGGUGUCAUUUGAAAGAUGGGUGAAUUGUAUAGAGCCAUAUCCCCAAAUGAUAUUGCUCAUGUUUGAAAGAAGGUGGCAUUAGGAUCAGCCACAUCUGGGUUCAAUCCUUGAUCUACCACUUGCCAGCUUAGUAACUGUGUGCAAUUUUACCUAGCUUCCCUGAGCCUCGGUUUCCUUGGCUUUAUGCUACUGGAUAAUACCAACCUUUCAGAGUUCUUAUGAAUAAUGAGCUACACACAAUAUAUUUUUUAAAAAGUUGUCUGACAAAUAGAUCUAUUCCAACAAAUGGAAGCUAUUUUUAUUAGAUAGAAUUUGCUUAGAGGGUAUAUAAGUUGGAACUUAAUCUUUUACCUAAGGCUUAAUUAAAUUUGUAAUUUGUAGGCUUCAAUAGAUGUAAUUUUUAGCCAUGUUGACAGAAUGGGUAAAAUAUAUUGUAUGAAUGGGUGUGCUAAGUUUUAUCAUCAAUUAUCUUAAGCAGUUCCAAAUAUAAUAGCCAUGAGUGACAUUGAGACUGCAGCUAUUGAUUGUACUUCUGGUAGUAGAGUUUGUCCAGUAUUAUCUCUUCCAAGUUACUGGCAAUAUUGUUUGUCUUUCCAGAGUUAAUGUAAAGCACAUUCAACUCACCUAGGAGCCAUCAGGACUUUACAGUGGCCUUCAGACAAGUAUUCUAGAGCAACAAAUGACAACGAGGUCAACUUGGCAGCAUUGUUCAUUUCCAUCUCAGCUUAUUUACCAACUUGCUGUCUGCUUGUCAGGUCUUGGGGCCAGAGAUGAAUCAAAUACUGGAAAUAUAGAGUUUGCUUCUAUUUGUGUCCCCUUAUUAUUUCUACCUUUGUGGAUUCUUCAAUCCAGAGAAAGCCAGAUUCACCCUUCUCCAUGUUGCCCUCAGUAAGAAAAACUACUAAAACUCACCAUGAAUGGGUGAAAUCGGAUACCUUUUAGUGCAAACCAAGAAAUUUCUUGCAAAUGUGUGUCUGGAAGGGUGAAAACAGUAAUAUCAACCAAGGUGAUCAGGACCUAGAUUUGUGAAAACAGAAAGAGAAUGUGAUUGCAAUUUAGAAAAUAGAAUAUAAUUGAAUUUUUAGAGAAAGGAGAGUCAGAACAAUUGAUUAGUUUUGUGAACAGAAGAUGGGUAGUCAAUCUAAAGUACACAAAUUCUGAGGAUGAUUUAAUGCUGUCCAGACAAGAAAUGUCUUGUAUCUAGUGGAUUUAAAUUCAGCUGUUCUCUUGGACAACAAUGUGAAUCACAAAACUUUAUCUUAUUCCAGAUAAAAUAGAUCCAA